AUGGCCAUCCGCAGUCUGGAGAGUUAGGAAACCAGCGACUGUUUAGUUCGAGAAGCUGGAGUCAGCAGAGCGGGAAAGACCGACGAGGCAGCUCCGCAGCAAAGCUGAAAGUUGCUGAUGCAAGGCUGUGUUCAAAGGCUGGAGAGACUGGAGUCUGAUGUCCACAGUCUGUGGAACACACACUCUGAAAGACUUCUUCUCGCAGCUCUGACUCGUCCUUCUGCAGCCUGACCUUCUGUGUUCCUUGACUCAAGGAAGCUAUCAGACCCUGCUAUCAAACUCACAGGUCUCAGAGAAAUUAUUCAGGAUACCUAAACGAUGCCAUGGGGCAUCGAUGGACAGACUUAUAAGAAGAGACCCAAUUGUGUGAUAGGGCCUUCCCAGAAGAAAAGGAGGGCAGGCAGCGUGGCAUAAUCACUAUGCCUUGCACAGGAGAGCUAGCAGCCAUGCAACCUGGAUGUUUGCUACCAUGUAACGAGACAAAGGGGCUAACAAGGAAAGGAAAGCUAAGGAAGGUUCCAGAAGGCUACAUCCUGCUGUGCUUGGGCCGUAGGGAGUGAGCACACACAACCAGUACUAGCAUGCAUGCUGCUCCUGGCAUAGACUCCCAAGGUGGCAUCUCUCUGCAUGACAACCCCACAACCUUUCUCAGGGGUACUCACUCUGGAUUUGGAGACAGUGAUUUCAUCUCCCUUUCCACUGGGGCACAGACUCUAGGAUGCCAGACAGGGUUUCUCUGUGUAGCCCUGGCUGUCCUGGAACUCACUCUGU